rnacentral:rRNA from 1 species
UACGUAGGGUGCAAGCGUUGUCCGGAAUUAUUGGGCGUAAAGAGCUCGUAGGCGGUUUGUCGCGUCUGCUGUGAAAACCCGAGGCUCAACCUCGGGCCUGCAGUGGGUACGGGCAGACUAGAGUGCGGUAGGGGGAGAAUGGAAUUCCUGGUGUAGCGGUGGAAUGCGCAGAUAUCAGGAGGAACACCGAUGGCGAAGGCAGUUCUCUGGGCCGUUACUGACGCUGAGGAGCGAAAGCGUGGGGAGCGAACAGG